rnacentral:rRNA from 1 species
UACGGGGGGAGCAAGCGUUGUUCGGAUUUACUGGGCGUAAAGGGCGCGUAGGCGGCCACCGCAAGUCGAUUGUGAAAUCUCCGGGCUUAACCCGGAAAGGUCAACCGAUACUGCGGGGCUAGAGUGCGGAAGGGGCAACUGGAAUUCUUGGUGUAGCGGUGAAAUGCGUAGAUAUCAAGAGGAACACCUGCGGCGAAGGCGGGUUGCUGGGCCGACACUGACGCUGAGGAGCGAAAGCAUGGGGAGCGAACAGG